rnacentral:rRNA from 1 species
AUUGAACGCUGGCGGCAUGCCUUACACAUGCAAGUCGAACGGUAACGCGGGGAAACCUGGCGACGAGUGGCGAACGGGUGAGUAAUGCAUCGGAACGUGCCCAGUAGUGGGGGAUAGCUCGGCGAAAGCCGGAUUAAUACCGCAUACGACCUACGGGUGAAAGCGGGGGACCGCAAGGCCUCGCGCUGUUGGAGCGGCCGAUGUCAGAUUAGGUUGUUGGUGAGGUAAAGGCUCACCAAGCCGACGAUCUGUAGCUGGUCUGAGAGGACGACCAGCCACACUGGGACUGAGACAGGGCCCAGACUACUACGGGAGGCAGCAGUGGGGAAUUUUGGACAAUGGGGGCAACCCUGAUCCAGCCAUGCCGCGUGCGGGAAGAAGGCCUUCGGGUUGUAAACCGCUUUUGUCGGGGAAGAAACGCUCUGGAUUAAUACCCUGGGGUAAUGACGGUACCCGAAGAAUAAGCACCGGCUAACUACGUGCCAGCAGCCGCCGUAAUAC